rnacentral:rRNA from 1 species
GAGGGAAGGUCCCCCACACUGGUACUGAGACACGGACCAGACUCCUACGGAAGGCAGCAG